GUUCGGGUCCUGUGCAACGACCGAGACCGAACCUCGUCAGGCCCGGAAGGGAGCAGCGAUAAGGUUUUCCGGGCGGGUGCCGCAGAUCAACCUGAACCCU
rnacentral:SRP_RNA from 1 species